UACGUAGGGGGCAAGCGUUGUCCGGAUUUACUGGGCGUAAAGCGCGUGUAGGCGGCUACGCAGGUCCGUUGUGAAAACUGGAGGCUCAACCUCCAGACGUCGACGGAAACCGUGUGGCUAGAGUCCGGAAGAGGAGAGUGGAAUUCCUGGUGUAGCGGUGAAAUGCGCAGAUAUCAGGAAGAACACCUAUGGCGAAGGCAGCUCUCUGGGACGGUACUGACGCUGAGACGCGAAAGCGUGGGGAGCGAACAGG
rnacentral:rRNA from 1 species